rnacentral:rRNA from 1 species
GAUGAACGCUGGCGGCGUGCCUAAUACAUGCAAGUAGAACGCUGGAGCUUGGUGCUUGCACCGAGCGGAUGAGUUGCGAACGGGUGAGUAACGCGUAGGUAACCUGCCUCUUAGCGGGGGAUAACUAUUGGAAACGAUAGCUAAUACCGCAUAAAAGUCGAUAUCGCAUGAUAUUGAUUUGAAAGGUGCAAUUGCAUCACUAAGAGAUGGACCUGCGUUGUAUUAGCUAGUUGGUGAGGUAACGGCUCACCAAGGCAACGAUACAUAGCCGACCUGAGAGGGUGAUCGGCCACACUGGGACUGAGACACGGCCCAGACUCCUACGGGAGGCAGCAGUAGGGAAUCUUCGGCAAUGGGGGCAACCCUGACCGAGCAACGCCGCGUGAGUGAAGAAGGUUUUCGGAUCGUAAAGCUCUGUUGUAAGAGAAGAACGAGUGUGAGAGUGGAAAGUUCACACUGUGACGGUAACUUACCAGAAAGGGACGGCUAACUACGUGCCAGCAGCCGCGGUAAUACGUAGGUCCCGAGCGUUAUCCGGAUUUAUUGGGCGUAAAGCGAGCGCAGGCGGUUAGAUAAGUCUGAAGUUAAAGGCUGUGGCUUAACCAUAGUACGCUUUGGAAACUGUUUAACUUGAGUGCAGAAGGGGAGAGUGGAAUUCCAUGUGUAGCGGUGAAAUGCGUAGAUAUAUGGAGGAACACCGGUGGCGAAAGCGGCUCUCUGGUCUGUAACUGACGCUGAGGCUCGAAAGCGUGGGGAGCAAACAGG